CCUACGGGAGGCAGCAGUGGGGAAUAUUGGACAAUGGGGGCAACCCUGAUCCAGCCAUGCCGCGUGUGUGAAGAAGGCCCUCGGGUUGUAAAGCACUUUCAGUGAGGAAGAACGCCUGGUGGUUAAUACCCAUCAGGAAAGACAUCACUCACAGAAGAAGCACCGGCUAACUCCGUGCCAGCAGCCGCGGUAAUACGGAGGGUGCGAGCGUUAAUCGGAAUUACUGGGCGUAAAGCGCGCGUAGGUGGCUUGAUAAGCCGGUUGUGAAAGCCCCGGGCUCAACCUGGAACGGCAUCCGGAACUGUUAAGCUAGAGUGCAGGAGAGGAAGGUAGAAUUCCAGGUGUAGCGGUGAAAUGCGUAGAGAUCGGGAGGAAUACCAGUGGCGAAGGCGGCCUUCUGGACUGAAACUGACACUGAGGUGCGAAAGCGUGGGUAGCAAACAGGAUUAGAUACCCUGGUAGUC
rnacentral:rRNA from 1 species